rnacentral:rRNA from 1 species
UACAGAGGGGGCUAGCGUUGUUCGGAAUUACUGGGCGUAAAGGGCGCGUAGGCGGCCUGGCAAGUGGAAGGUGAAAUCCCUCGGCUUAACCGAGGAACUGCCUCCCAAACUGCUUGGCUUGAGACCGGGAGAGGUGAGUGGAAUUCCCAGUGUAGCGGUGAAAUGCGUAGAUAUUCGGAAGAACACCAGUGGCGAAGGCGGCUCACUGGACCGGCAUUGACGCUGAGGUGCGAAAGCGUGGGGAGCAAACAGG